rnacentral:lncRNA from 1 species
UAAGAAAUCUGAAAGGAAAGUGAAAAAGAUAUAACCUUGAAUUGGAACUAGUGUUUGGCUUUUGAGUCAAAGCAGUCAAAUGAAUUGGUUCUUCUUUUUUUUUUUUUUUCUCAGCAACCAAACAAGCUAAGAAAUCUGAAAAGAAAGUGAAAAAGAUAUAACCUUGAAUUGAAACUAGUGUUUGGCUUUUGAGUCAAAGCAGUCAAAUGAAAUUACUCAAAUUCACCCUGGGGCACGUCAUAUAACACCCAUUCCUCUGUUUUUUACCUUCAACCUAGAUCUCGCAUGUGUUUUUCCCUUGGGGUUAGCCGCUUUGCUCAUUUAAGUAGUGUUUAAUUGUUAACAAAGACCUCCAUGGCAGCAACAAAGAAGCUUUCAUCUCUUUUCCCUUUGUUGUCUCUCAUUUGCUUCAUCUCUUUCUUUCUUCUUCUCUCUAUUUCCAGAAAAGCCUCCAUUUCCUCCUCCACAACUCAUCCCCAAUUCCUCCGUUUUAAACCCAUCGACGCCAAUCUCACCACCCGAUCAGACCCAUCUGCAACCGGCGAUUCUUCAUGCGAUUACUCCGAUGGGUCAUGGGUUUACGACCCAAAUGCGGGAUUUGAUCUAUACGACAGUAGCUGCAAGGAGAUAUUCAAAGGAUGGAAUUGCAUUUUGAACAACAAAUCCAACGGUAGAGACAUUAUUAAGUGGCGAUGGAAGCCUCGUAACUGUGAUCUCCCACCGUUCGAUCCCCUCCAGUUUCUUCACACUUACAGAGAUACCAACAUUGGUACUUCCCCAUCUCUGUCUCAAAGUUAGUUAUUUUAAAGCAAAUUAGGCCUUAAUCAAUAUUCAACAGUGCAGGGUUUAUUGGUGAUUCCUUAAACAGAAACAUGUUUGUAUCUUUGUUUUGUACUUUGAAACGUGUGUCCAAUGAUGUGAAGAAAUGGCGUCCUGCUGGAGCUGAUCGUGGCUUUACUUUCCUUCACUAUAAUCUCACCAUUGCUUAUCAUAGAACUAAUCUUUUGGCACGCUAUGGUAGGUAAGCUGCUUUGAAUCAUUUAGAUAAAUUCCAAUUUAGUUUCUUUUUGUUUGUAUUUCGUGGGAGGAACUGUAUUGUUCUUGAUUGUGUUUAAUGCAGAUGGUCAGCUAAUGGAAAUGGUGAUAAGUUAGAAGCUCUUGGAUAUAAAGAAGGUUAUAGAGUUGAUGUUGAUGUUCCAGAAAGCACAUGGGAAAAGGCUCCAAGCUUCCAUGAUAUACUAAUCUUUAACACAGGACACUGGUUAGCCUUUUUCCCACUUCCAUUAAAAUGUUGUAGAUCUUUCGGUGCCAAUAAUGUUAUGGUACUAUACCUUUUAGCACUAUUUUGUUGUUUUUAGCAUUUGGAUCCGGUUUUCAUGGUAGAUGAAAAUGACCAUAAGUGGAUUUUAAUGACAUGAAAACAAACUGUCAAAGUUGGACGCAUUUUCAAAUUAUGUGCAAAUAUCAAACUUUUUGGCUUAAGCUGUGUAACUUGUGGUUGUGUUAUAAUAUUAUGUUGGUUGCUUCUUUUGUUGCCAAUAGUAUGGUAGAAUUCCUUUAUGUUCUUAUUUGUUGUUCCUAAGUUGUUUUCUAUCCUUUUUUCAUGUUGAACGAAAAUGACCAAAAGAUGAUUUUAAUGGUGGUUUUUGAGUCAUAUGCAAUCAUCAAAGCUUUUUGACUGAAGCUAUGUAAGUUGAGGUUGUUUUAUAAUAUUAUGUUGAUUGCUUGUUGAGGUAUUUUGGUGCCAAUAGUAUGGUAGCAUACUUUUAUGUUAUUGUUUGUUGUCCUAAAUUGUUUUUUAGCAUUUCAAUCCCAUUUUCAUGUUGAAUGAGAACAACCAAAAGUUGAUUUUAGUGUGGUUUUUGAGUUAUAUGCAAUCAUCAAAGCUUUUUGGCUCAAGCUGUGGGAUUUGUGGUUGUUUGUUGAAAAAUUCUUGGUGGCAAUUUAUAUGGUAGCACACCUUUAUGUUCUUGUUUGUUGUUCCCAAGUUGGUUUUUAGCAUUUCAGUCCUAUUUUCAUGUAAAAUGAAAAUAACCAAAAGUGCAUCUCAACGACAUGACAAAUUGCCAUGGUUGGAUGUGGUUUUCAAGUUAUAUGCAAUCAUCAAAGCUUGUUUGGCUCAAGCUGUGUAACUUGAGGUUGUCUUAUAAUAUUAUGUCGGUUGUUUGUUGAGAUCCUUUGGUGCCAAUAGCAUGGUAGCAUGCAUGCCUUUAUGUUCUUGUUUGUUGUUCCUAAGUUGUUUUUUACAAUUUUGAUCCUAUUUCAUGUUCAAUGAAAACGACCAAAAGUUUGUUUUAAUGUGGUUUUUGAGUUAUAAGCAAUCACCAAAGCUUUUUGGCUCAAGCUGUGUAACUUGUGGUUGUUUUAUAAUAUUAUGUUGAUUGCUAGUUGAGGUCUUUUGGUGGCAAUAGUAUGUUUUUUAGCAUUUCGAUCCUAUUUUCAUGUUGAAUGAAAACGACCAGAAGUGUUGGAUGUGUUUUUCGAGUUAUAUGCACAUAUCAAAUCUUUUUGGCUCAAGCUGUGUCAUUUCUGGUUGUUUUGUAAUAUUAUGUUGGUUGUUUGUUGAGAUCUUUUGGUGCCAAUAGCCUGGUAGCAUGCAUGCCUCUAUGUUCAUAUUUUUUGUUCCUAAGUUGUUUUCUAGCAUUUCGAUCCUAUUUCCAUGUUGAAUGAAAUGACCAAAAGUGGAUUUUAAUGACAUGACAAAUUGCCGUUGUUGGAUGUGGUUUUCGAGCUAUAUGCAACCAUCAAAGCUUUUUGUCUCAAGCUAUCUAACUUGUGUUAUAUAUUUAAGUUGGUCCCUGGCCACAAUUUCUUGUUAUUCUAGUCCAUAUAUUUCCAUUGUUGUAAUCAUAGAUUUCCUGACAUAGAUUAACCAUUUUGAUUGUUCUUUAAUAGGUGGUGGGCUCCUUCGAAAUUUGACCCAGUUAAGUCACCCUUGCUUUUCUUUGAAAAGGGUCUACCUGUAAUCCCUCCCAUACCUCCUGAUCUUGGCUUGGAUAAGGUUUUAAAUCACGUGGUAUGUUAUUGCAAAUGGUGUUUGCUACUAUUGUUUUUACAACGCUCAGCUUACCUUCUUAGUUCUUACUGAUCAUCAAUUGGCAGAUACGGUUUGUGGAGAAAACCAUGCGACCGGAUGCAAUUAAAUUGUUUCGCACGCAAUCACCAAGGCAUUUUGAAGGUGGUGAUUGGGACCAAGGUGGUUCUUGUCAGCGGUUACAGCCUUUGUUACCCGAACAAGUUAGUAUCUUUCAUUUGGCCAAAAAAUUGUUCAUCUGUUGGUUUGUGUCCACUCCGGACCAAGGCUGAAUUGAUUAUAUCCGUUUUCAGGUGGAAAAUCUCUUCUCGUUGAAAAACAACGGGACAAAUGUGGAGACAAGGCUUGUGAAUCAGCACAUAUACAACGCCCUCAAGGGGUCUAACGUCCACAUCUUAGAUAUUACCCGCAUGAGUGAGUUCAGAGCUGAUGCUCACCCUUCCACAGCCGGAGGAAAGAAACACGAUGACUGCAUGCAUUGGUGCUUGCCGGGAGUUACAGAUACAUGGAACGACCUGUUUGUAACACAUUUAAACAGUCUUAAAAUUUGAAACUGAUUGUAUUAUUACUAAACAUAUUUUUGUUCGGUACAUUUUGGGUUAGGAUCGGUUUGGAAUUCAAGUCAUUUGAGUCAUCUCGGAUUCAGGUUUGAGUCAUUAGGACUGUACAAAUGCCAAAGAACUGAUGUUUAUCUACCAAAUAGUCCCAAUCCCAAAAACAUAUGUGUAACCAACUCAUCUGGUUCGUUGUUAUUACAAAAAACAACCUAAAACGACAGCACCCCCAACCAAAUCCAUAUUAGACGACAAAGUUUAGGGUUGGCUGCCUCAGCUCUUUCCUUGGCUUUUUGAUAGAAAAGCCGACAAGCAUCCAUGAUUAGAAUCCGUAGCCGUAGCCAAUGCCACAAAAGCUGCUGCAUCCUCCCUGCAUGUCACGUGGUGCAACCCUACUUAUUUCCACUUCCGGUUUGGGCUGUUGCUGGUUUUUUGUGAUUGAAUAAAAGGGAUUGUUGGCAUUUGGUGAGGGAAGUGUCUUGAGCUUGAUCUUACAAUAACAUGGACAAGUAGAAGAAAGUGAGGACCUUGAAAUUUCAGGGCCGAAUGGACCCAUUGUUUUUUCUUUUUAUUUUUCCUAGUUUUGGUGGGAGAGUUUAGCUUCCAAUAUCAACUUGUGAGUUACUAACUGUCCAGGUUACUGUCUAAGUUCAUCCAAAAUUUGGAAGAGUUUGAACAAAAAUAUUAAAUUUGGAAAAUGGACUUGGGCAAAGACAAUAAUGGGUUGGGCAAUGGGAGUUGAUUGUUAAGCCAUCAUCAUAUUGAAUACAACCAACGAGUAAUACAAUGAAGACGACAAGUUGUUUCUAUGCUACACCUUUGUCGUUUACAGACCACUUCCGUCUCUUUCUCCUUUCAGAUUCGGUUUUUGUAACAAUCUUCAUGUGAGGAUUCAUAAUUUUUUUUGCUCUAAGACCAUGUCAUAGAGCUCUCAACACACCACACGUAUUGCUUGAUAUAUUUAAUUGUUACAAUGUCAAUGUGCCUUGGAAUCGUGGGUUGUCGACCAACCCCGCAACUCAUCUGGUUUAUAACUCUGACCACACAAAGUAUCGGUUCGAGCCGAAACUCAUCUCUUAAUCUAGUGGUAUUGGAUGAAUUUUUCAUAGGUUUGAAUCAUAAUUGUGAUGUGUAAUUUAGAAAAUCGAGUUAAAAGUGUGUAAAUUAAUUGUAAAAUUACCUAAAAUAAUAAUAAUUUUAUCAUGAUUCAUAAUUUAUAAAAAAAAACAUAAAAUAAAAAUUGAAAACCAAGAUGAUAGUAAUCUAAUUGUUUAAGUUUACUAAGUAAGCAAAUAAUAUUUUCAUGUGCCGAUUGAGUCUUAGUUUGAUUGGUAUGGACAUUAUGUAGGGGGACGUAGCUGCACUAAAACACAUUAUUCUCCUAUUUAUGAGUUGGGGAAGGGCCAUGGGUAGUUCUAAACAUUGUGUCAAAAAAAAAAAUAGAUACGAUCCGAACCUCUAAUGUGCUUGUUCAAAACAAAUAUUUUCACGGAUAAGCGUGAUUUAGAUAAUAAAAACUUUAAAAUGUUUCCAAAUAAAAUAAUUUUAUUAUUAUAUUUGAAAAAGGAAAAUACAUCAUUAAAAAUAAGGACUGAUUUUUUGUAUCAACAUAUUGACAUUAAAUCUUUUGUGCAUCUAAAGAUUUCUUAAGAAAUAUAAGAAAAAAACAAUACAAAUCAUAUAAAAUUUCUCUUAUUCAAUGCAAAAUCACUUUUAAGAUUCUCUGAAAUAUAUUAUUGAGCAAUAUUAAUACCGAAAUUAUCAACUUUAUGAUAAAAAUAUGAAUAAAUAAAUAAAAUUAUACAAAAUUACGGGUGGGUUUAGAUGGACGGUUGGGUGCGUGCAUUAGGUGCUGUACAUUUAGCUUACUUUUUGACCCAUACUAUAAUAUCUAAUCUUACAACCACCGUUAUUUUUACACUAAUCGCAGGUAAACUCACCACCCGUCUAAACCUACCCUAUACAAACAAAGAUGUAAAGCUACAAAAUAAUGCAGUUAAAGGUAUAAAAAAAACUAGCUUCAUUUAUAUAUGAUCAUAUAUAGAUCUAUAUUGUUCAUAAAAUAAUUAAAAACUAAGCAGAUUAAGUUUAUAACGUAAAAUAAUAGCCACAGACAUACCUUCAAUGAUGAAUAGAGAAUAUUUAAUAAUCCAAGUCAUGACCAUGACCAAAAUUAAAACCUUCAACACCUAGAUUGAAAUCCCCGUACCCGCCGGUGUCUCCGACGGCAAAGCCACUGUUUUGGACGGCGAAACCGUUGCCCAAACCAUCAGGAUUAGCCACCGUCAUGGCAGUCGACAUGGCAAAAACAUCUCCCAUCAAUGUACUAGCCCUAUUAGCCACAUUAUUCCUUAACUCCUCCAAGGCUUUAGCAUAUGCUUCAAGUUCCUCAAUUCCCAUAUUAUUAUCAAUAGGGUCAUCCCACCAAAACAGUCCCUUCAUUUUUCUCUCUUCCUUUUCCUUUUGGAUCUCCUUGCUUCUCUUUUUUUCUUCCUCAAGUUUCUCCAAUGUCUCUCGGCUCUCCUCGUUGAACUCUUCGAGACAUGGAGCAAUGUCGUCACCAGACAUCAUCAAACCAUCAGCAUGGUUAGGGUUUUUGCUAAGGUAACGCUCCAAUAUCAUGUCGAUAUCGGGGUGACCAAAGCAAAACGGCUUUCCUUUGGGAGAGAACACGAUGAUGCCGAUGUUGCAACCGCAUAAAAUGCAAAGCUCGCUCGCUUUCUUGAACAAACCAUUGCGGCGCUUGGAGAAAGUCACUUGGCGGCUGCUUUCGUUUUCGAGUUUCUUUAUCUGAAUCUUUUGGCGACCCCUCGUUGCCUUAGUGGUGGUGUUGCUGCUUCUGGUUUGAUUUAGAGAUGCCAUUGUUAUAUCCUACGUAUGUCUUAGAAAAAAAAUGGUAUUCUUCUGAAAGGAAGAAAAUGUAUAAGAUUAUAUCCAAAUUAAAGCAAUUAUAUAUAUGGUAAGUUGAAUUUUUAGGAGAAUCGGUCCAAAUUUUCAACUUAGUAUUAAAUAAUAUCCUAAAAUUAUUAUCUCAAUAUUCUCUUUUCAAACUAUAUAAGUAAGGUUAAUAAUAUCAAUUAGUAUAAUGAUCAUAUUUUGUUCACUUUUUCUUCUUUAAAUGUUACUCAAAAAUAUCAAAUUAAUUUUUACUUGGGGCGGGUGCUGUGUGUUUAGCAGUCAAAUGAAUUGGUUCUUUCUUUUUUUUUCUCAGCAACCAAACAAGCUAAGAAAUCUGAAAGGAAAGUGAAAAAGAUAUAACCUUGAACUGAAACUAGUGUUUGGCUUUUGAGUCAAAGCAGUCAAAUGAAAUUACUCAAAUUCACCCUGGGGCACGUCAUAUAACACCCAUUACUCUGUUUUGUACCUUCAAGCUAGAUCUCGCAUGUGUUUUUCCCUUGGGGUUAGCCGCUUAGCUCAUUUAAGCAGGGUUUAAUGGUUAACAAAGAC